AGAGGAAUAGCUGGGUCAUUUCCCAGCUUUCCAAGGAAUAUCCAUACUGCUUUCCAGAUUGGCUGAACCAAUUUUCAGUCCCACCAGCAAU
rnacentral:pre_miRNA from 1 species